rnacentral:rRNA from 1 species
AGAUUGAACGCUGGCGGCAUGCUUUACACAUGCAAGUCGAACGGUAACGCGGGGGCAACCCGGGCGACGAGUGGCGAACGGGUGAGUAAUACAUCGGAACAUGUCCUGGAGUGGGGGACAGCUCGGCGAAAGCCGGAUUAAUACCGCAUACGCUCUGAGGAGGAAAGCGGGGGACUCGUAAGGGCCUCGCGCUGCAGGAGUGGCCGAUGUCGGAUUAGCUAGUUGGUGAGGUAAAGGCUCACCAAGGCGACGAUCCGUAGCUGGUCUGAGAGGAUGAUCAGCCACACUGGGACUGAGACACGGCCCAGACUCCUACGGGAGGCAGCAGUGGGGGAAUUUGGACAAAUGGGGGCAACCCUGAUCCAGCCAUGCGCGUGAGUGAAGAAGGCCUUCGGGUUGUAAA